rnacentral:rRNA from 1 species
CAGUCGCCGCGGUAAUACGUAGGUGGCAAGCGUUGUCCGGAAUUAUUGGGCGUAAAGGGCUCGCAGGCGGUUUCUUAAGUCUGAUGUGAAAGCCCCCGGCUCAACCGGGGAGGGUCAUUGGAAACUGGGAAACUUGAGUGCAGAAGAGGAGAGUGGAAUUCCACGUGUAGCGGUGAAAUGCGUAGAGAUGUGGAGGAACACCAGUGGCGAAGGCGACUCUCUGGUCUGUAACUAACGCUGAGGAGCGAAAGCGUGGGGAGCGAACAGGAUUAGAUACCCCCGUAGUCCCUGUCUCUUAUAC